CGGCUACUCGGGAGGUUGAGGCAGGAGAAUGGCGUGAACCCGGAGGCGGAGCUUGCAGUGAGCCAAGAUAGCGCCACUGCAGUCCAGCCUGGGCGAAAGAGCGAGACUCCGUCUCAAAAAAAAAAAAAAAAAAAAAAGGAAAAGGCACAAGUAGAGGAGGGUUAGCACCCUCCCAAGCCUUUCUCAUGCCCAUACUGCUUUUCUUUUUCUCUGUUCCACCUCUACCCUCAGCAGCAGCUACACAAUGAUGUCAUAAUUAUAAGGGCAACAGCAUCCAGUAAGAUAAUGUAGGCAGGCCCAACCUGGGCUGGUCCAGGUUAUAAGGAAUAGAGGUGCUUAGCCUCUGGGGAUGUGCAGGAGGAGUCCAGACAAACAAACACAGCAAUGCUCAUGGCUCGCAGGGUGAAAGAUGACCCUGUGGUUGUCAUUCACCAUCCUGCAUCUGGAUCUUGACAUGCUCUUUUUUCUGUAUGAAAUGCUCUUCCCCACAACACCUGUCCUUGUCUACACUUCUUUAUACAUCUGUCACCCCUCCUCAACUCAACAAAUGUGAAGCACAGGGAAUACAUUUUAUUCAUCUUCAUAUCCCCUGAACCCAGCUCAGUGCCUAGCACACAGUGAGUACUCAAUGAAUUCAUAAAUGAACACUAUAGCCCAAGUGGGGAUCUUCAUGUAUCUACAGCAUUUGACUCCCUAUGAAAUACUGUGACUUUUAUGCUUCUCAAAAAGUCUGUGAAUCAAGCAAGGCAGAUGUCAUUCUCCUUUUAUGUAGGAGAAACCAAGAUUCCAAAAUUUUAAGUGACUUGGUCAAGAUCACCAGUGAGCAAGUGGUACAGCCAGAAAUGAAACUGUGUUAAAUAACGGGACCACUUUAACACAGUAUUAAACUGUGUUAAAUAUUUGUUGGAGAGACAGGAAGAGAAAAGGAGAAAUGGAGAGAGAGAGAGAAAAAGAAAAAAAAAAACACAGAGGUGAUUUGGAUUCAAACCCAAAUUCAAUGGUCUGACCAUCUGCCAGUAAUAAUUUGGUGAGACUCACACUGAGAGGCUGAAUCAAUGAUUGUUUGUAUAGGCAGAGAUAAGUGGACACAUUUCGCGUUGAGGAAUUAUCAAACAGCAAUUUUAGUAAUGUCGUUAGACUGUAAUAGAGAUAGAGUGCAAUUUAGAUAGGCAUAUCCUCUUUCUAAUCAUCAUUCGUCCAUCAGCCUUGGAGGUCAAGUUGAGUUUAAUCUUCCUCGAUGGCUGUACUUUUGGUUUCAGUCUCUCAUACUCACUGCACCUCCUGUAACUUCCAUUCAGCAUGCAAUGAGAGAGGCAUGUGUCUAGAGACUGGGAAGGCACGGUGGUUCUGCUUUGUUAAAACAAAAAAGGCCCAUUGUAACACUGGUUUUCCUCAGAUAGUCAGCCUUGUCUACACUUCCACAAAUUUACCCACUUGAAUACGCUGUAGUAUAUUUCAGGAAACUCACAAUGUUUCUGCAGAAAGGACUGUUUACAUGGAGGUUUUCAGCAGCCUUAGCAGGCAUGAUGUUUGGAUCCUGGAAAUCAUCUAUUUUUUAUGUGUAAAUAAACAGUGGGAGGAAAGGAGAAGGCAUCCAUACAAUUUUAAUGAACAAGAUUCCCAUCAGUCAUCAAAAGAAAACAAAAGGUAGCUUAAAGGGCACAAGGAAGCUAUUCUUCUAGUGAUUUCUCUGCUCAGCUCUCCUGGGAAAAGGAGUGGCUUCUAAAUUAAAAAAAAAGAAAAUCAUGCUCUAGUAUUUUUUUUUCCUGUCAUUUCAUUGUCUUUGAUCUUGCAUUUCCUAAGAAAGAAGCACUUAACCUCUAGUAUCAGAUCAAUGUUGGAAAUGCACGCUUUAUUUUAAGAUCCUUUUCUAACACAUGGAAACUCUGUAUCUUCACAAGUGAACUUAACAUGAUUCAAACAGAUUGCAUUCCACAACCAACGUGCUUCAAAACUAUUGGCUGAAUUCAGGCAUAAAGCUGGUUUUUUUCAUCACCACUAAUGAAUUAUUUUUGAAAUAGCAAGUCUUUUCCAAAUAAAAGUUACUUAACUAAAUUCGAGCCAUGAUGUUUUAAAAUCAAUUUUUACAUGGACACUACCCAAGUGGAUUCUCCUUGCACCAAAAUGGCAGAUUCUCCAUGGAUUUCUCCUGAAGGGAGGUGAAAGCCUCCUCCAGUCACACAAGUAGUCUAUCAUGAAUCUGCCUGAAUUCCCUUCCCAGUGAAUGAAGUGUAUUAUGUUGGCAGAAGGAUACUCCAUCAUCUAUAAUAAAUAUUCAUCUGCAUGUAUCAUGCACUUGAGCUGCAUGACUGAUGAACUCCGGCUCCGGAAAUGAAAGGGAAAUGCACCAAGACAAAUGUCACCUUUCAAUGCUUCUCCAACAGAUAAAUUGUAGUUAGAUUUAAACAAAGUCAGUAAUUUCAUGCUUUCCAACUGGUGCCUGAUUCAGCUCAGAUGGCCCCUACUCUGUUUAAGGGUGCUAAUACCCAGGUUGGUUAGUUGAGUUUUGGCAAUCUCUACUAGAGAACAGUCAACAAUUUCUACUUCAUAUGCUUAUUGAAAUACAAUUAUGCUAAAUACACUUCCCCAGGUAUUUAUGCACGUUGGAUAAUUUAAAAUUUGGGCAGCUUAAAAGCCAACAUAGGUAUAGCUCUUUUGAAAAAUAAUUUGGCACUAUGCGAUAAAAAUGUAUUUCCCCUUUAACUCAGGAAUCACCCUCCUGGGGAUGAAUCCAAAAGCUUUACAAGGGGUAUCAUUUAUCUCCCAGCGUCUGUUUUCUUUUGAUGAGGGGAAAUUCCACAUCCCAGAAGAUACUCUCUUUUUCUCUGCAGUCCCAGAGGGAAGGGAGGAAUUUGGCUGAUGAGUGGAUUUGGGAGAAGGAGCCACAGAAGAAUGCUCAUACAUAUGUUGGGCUAAUUUUCUUUCUCCAUGCUCCAUCUGGGGAGACAGUUUGGUCUGUACUGAACAAUAAGAGAUGUGAAAUUCAAUUCAGAAAAAAAAUUUUAGGAAAUUGGUAUACCUGAUACCUUAUUCUGUAUCUAACUGGCCUUAACAUCUCUCAUUCAUUUGUAUCAGAUCUUGUGAGAGAAAGAGAAAGGUUUCAUGUCUUAGCCCUUAUCAAACACCAACAAGCUUCAGACUUAAAGAUGUCCACUGUGAAAUUAUUUGUUACCUAACAAUGGAAACGUUUGAUGAGCAAAAUCCACUCAGUGUGAUGCAUAACACUAGGCAGCCACUACAGAUCAUGUAAAUACAAUGCCUAGAAUAUACUUGAUAAUAUUGAAGCAAAAAACAGAAGGAUAGAUAAUACUUGCAAAACAUUGAUAAUUAUGAAAAAAGGUUGGUCAAGCUUAUCAGAGCGUGCAGAGUGGUGCCAUGGAUCCUAGGAGGGGAAUACCCAGUCUCACCACUCUGACAUGUUCUUUGCAUGGCCAAGGCCAAGAGAAGAGCUCAGUGACAUCUGAUAUUUUCCCUACUGGGACUCUGCCUACUCCCACAGUACCUUUACACUUGGGAAAACAUACAUAGUUUAAUAUAAGCCGUAAUGUAAAGUAUGUGACAAGGUGUGAAACCAGACAACCCAUACAUUCAACAACAAUGAUGAUACCAAAAAUAUCCAUUAAAACUAAGCAGCAACAUUAAAAUGCUUGUGUAUUGCUGAAUACAAAAUGGAAAACCCAGGACACAAAAAUCCACAGGCACAAAAUGAUGAGAGUAUGUUCUGAAUUGGGUAUUACUGCUAGUAUCUGAUUCUGUACAACUGCGGUCCUAACGAUAUGUGAAAUUUGAUGGGAAUUACAUUUAAAAUUGUACUUGAAAAUAUGAUGGUGAAAAAAAGAAUUCAAAGAAUUAGAGGGAUGUUAAAAUGCUGGGAUUAUGACUUCUGUUAUGUAAAUGUAUUUUUUGGAAGUGUAUCCUUGAUCAUUUGACUAUGGAACAAGAAUUCUGUGCAAGUAUUACACAUUCUUAGGGAGUGAGUCCUUAGGCCAGGUAAAUAUCUUUUAUGUCUUUGGUUGAAACCUGAAAUGAGGAAAUUAAGGCCAGAAAUUUGAUGAAGUCCUAUCAUUAGUAGAACUAGGUCCUUAUUUUUUCUGUUUGAGGAAACACUUAUAAUGUUGACUCCAUUGCCCUUUAUUGAAGUUUUUGUCUACAGACACCACUAGACUGUAAGCUGCAUUCUUCUGAUUCAUUUCUUUAUCACCACCCAGCCUAGUCCCUAAUACUUAGUAGAUACCCAAUAAAUGAACAUUUGAGUUCUACUCCAUUGGGUUGUCCUCUGAUUGCUUCAGAGACCUUUGACGUGAUUUCACAGCAAGAAUUGUAAAUUAUUUGGCAGCCAGGAUGACUUUGGCCAAUAUUCUUUUAGCAUCUUCCCAACACACAUAGCACAGGACUAGGUACACUACCAAUGAAUUGAUUGACAGUUGAAGAGAAAAUUUAAAGCUAACAAUAGUUUUAACUUUUAUUUUACGUGCAGAAGUACACGUGAAGGUUUGUUACAUAGGUAAACUCAUGUCAUGGGGGUUUGUUUUACAGAUUAUUUCAUCCCCCAGGCAUUAAGCCCAGUACUCAAUAUUUAUCUUUCCUUCUCCUCUUCCUCCUCCCAUCCUUCACCCUCAAGUAGACCCCAGUGUCUGUUCUCUUUAAAGCUAACAAAUUUACUGAUACAUUUGGCUUCUUAUGGGCCAUUGUCCUUGAGCACUUUCAACACUCAUUGAACAUUUACUGUGUGCCCAACAUUCUGACAUGCACUUUACAUGCAUUUUCUUAUUUAGUCUUCAUAACUCCAUGCAGUAAGCAUUGCUGACAUCCCUGUUUCCUAGUUUAAUAAAAUGAGGCAUGGAAGAAGCAAGGACAAAAUUCACAGCUACUGAAAAGUGAGACUGUGAUUCAAAUGCAGAGUGUCUGACCCCGGAGCCCAAGCUCAUGGGUACCCCUAUGUCAUGCUGAAUUUUUGCUAGUCUUCCCUCUGGCAGAAUUUGCAUGACAGGAGUAAGAAUUUUAACUACAGAGGGUCCUGGCAUAUUUUCGUUAUUACCAACUAAAUGUAACUGGCAUCAUAGUGUUGUUCAUCACAGUUUCCAUCUACCAUAACAUCUGCCAAUGUGCUGCCAUACCAUUGGCCUAAACAUUGACACAAAGAGAGAAGUCAGAUCACAGAGGUAACCUGUCUUGAUUUUCAAAUAGGUAAACUCUGGCAAACAAUAUAUUUUUGCACUCAACACUGAUUCCGAUUCCAAAAAUUCCUGGAACUGGCAAGAAGAUGGCAGAAGCAAAAUGUAAACAUUGUCAGUGCUUGUAACAAAUGAUAGUUAAUAAAACCUGAAAAGAUUAUAGCUCAGAAACUGAUUUCUUGUGUUUCCCGUUAUUUAAUAAUUUAUUAUACGAAAUCCAUUGACCUUUCCAUGGCUCUUUUUUUUGAGGAAGAGAGAAACCUGGAACGUUAAUUAUGGCUUAGCUAUUUUAUUAAGCAGCAUUAGCAUACAAAUAGGACAUCAAUAACCAAUUACAAUCUUCAUCUUGGGAAAGCAGGUCUCCUCCAUCCCCUCUGUGAGUGCUAACUCAGCCACUUAAAGGUCUUGGGCACUUCAUGAUGAUGGCAUUCAAGGCUCUUCUCAAUCAACCCCCAGGUGGUCUCUCUAACCUGACACCCUGCCCCUCCCCUCUGCAUGCUGCUUUCUAGCCAAGCAGGGGUCUACCUGCUGCACUCCAAGCAGAGCCUAUGCCCAUCGGCCUGUGUUUCUUAUCUCCUGCCAAUCCUGGCCACCCAAUCUCUGACUCUUUAAUUCCUCAAUUCUGUGCAGUCACCUCCCAUUCUUCAUUUAUUCAGCAGAUGCUGAGGGGAUACUAGCUAAAUACCAAUCACUGAGUGACUCAGGGGAAACACCAGGAGCAAAGCAGACAUGAUUCCUCCCUGCCUGAGGCCUACAGGCUAGUGCAGGGGUCAAUAAACUUUCUCUCUAAAGGGCCAGAUAGUAAAUAUUUUGGGCUCUGCCUAACACAGUGUCUGUUGCAGCUCCUCAAUUCUGCCUUUGUAGUGGGAAAGCAGCCACUGACAUGACACAAAUGGAUGGAAAUGGCUGUGCUCCAAUGACACUUUGUUUAUACAAAAAUAGGCAGUAGUCUGGACUUGGUCUAUAGGCCACAGUUUGCUGACCCCUGGUUUAGAGCAUUGAACUCUGAAAUUGAAGAGGGCUAGGUUAGAAAUUCGAAAUCCAGCUACUCCACCUAUCAUCAUGUCGUCUUCAGCAAGUUUCUCUGCACCUCAGUGUCUUCAUCUGUAAAAAGGAGAAAAUGAAGUAUACACCAGGCUCUGUUUUCCCAGUGAAAUCCAUCCCGUGGUUCCCAUGAGUCAUAUCCAGACUUUUCACCAUGACCUGGAGAGGCCUUCAAUGAUCUUCCUCCCACUUACCUCUUCUUUUUUUUUUUGUUUUGAGACGGAGUCUCACUCUGUCGUCCAGGCUGGAGUGCAGUGGCGUGAUCUUGGCUCACUGCAACCUCCACUUCCCAGGUUCAAGUGAUUCUCCUGCCUCAGCCUCCCGAGUAGCUGGGACUACAGGCACACACCACCGUGUUGGGCUGAUUUUUGUAUUUUUAGUAGAGAUGGGGUUUCACCAUGUUGGCCAGGCUGGUCUCGACCUCCUGACCUCAGACGAUCCGCCCACCUCGGCCUCCUAAAAUGCUGGGAUUACAGGUGUAAUCCCCUGUAGGAUUACAGUGGCCCCACUUACUCUUCUACCCCUUCGUUACUGGUUCUUGAGCCCCUGACUCCAUUUCUGUGGUGCUGAUCUUCCUUCCCACCCCAGGGCCAUUGUGGAUGCAGCACCAGCUCCUGGGAUUGCCCUCCUGCUGUGGUCACAUGUCAGCUCCUAUCCUUCAGGGUCCAAUUUCAAGUGCAGUUCCCUUCAAGAGGCUUUCUGUGACCAUCCGGUCUAUAUUCACCCACACACACAUGGAGGAACAGCCACCAGUCCUUCCCCAUCUUCACUCCUUGUUUGUUUCUUUGGUAGCAUUUACGCCAAUUUGUAUUUGUUUGUUUAACUCUUCAUUUUAUGUCCCUCGACUAAAUUAUCCGUCCCAUGAGUGCAUGGACUUCACUGUACCUCUAGCAUCCAGCCCAGUGUUGGCAUGAACUGAUUAAUCAAUGAAAGAAUAUUUGUGUCAUUAGUAAGUCCAUCAAUAAAUGAUGGCAGGUGAAUGCGUCUCAAUUUAAAAAGCAGCAUGGUGUUUUUUCUCUUCCACAGUUUCAUCAAGCAUGGUGGACCAAUGCCUCAUGUCUCUUCGUUUCCUCUGGCACUAAUUCCAUCUUAGAGCUGGUUACAUUUUGAUUUCUGAAAUGAUUAAAUCGUUGACAUGUAGCAUUUAAUUUGAGUAUGUCCCAAAUACCCUACGCUGAGAUACCCCUAGGGUUUCUAGGGUUCCCUUCUUCUUAUUCCUGGUGAGUUUUCUUCUUUCUCUGAAGAACCCGUUCAGACAAAAGACAGCAAGACCAAGGUAUGAAAAAUUGACCAGGGGUUCUGGUCUCAGCUCCCUCAGGUUGGCUGUGUGAGCCUAGACAAUUCAAGCAACCUCUCUGAACUUGUUUUUUUUUCAAUUGCAAAUGUAGAAGAUGAACAGAUUAAGCAACAAAAAUCUAAUACUCUGGAGCAGUCACCAGCUCUUGAGCCAAUGGUGUUAGCAGAUACAAGAGAACAAGAAAAAAAAUUGAACAUACCUGCUUCAAAGGAGCACACCACUUUAAAGCAAGUAAUCCAACGUUACCCCCUUUUGUGGAGCUCUCAGCCAGAGUGGACUGGCUUGGGCCAAGCCAGUCCCUGAAAUGAUUAAUUAUUGUAACAGCAGAGAGUUAAAUGAAGAAGCGACAGAUGGCCCAUGUGAAAUAGUCUAAAAUCACCUGCUAUGAAAUUAAUUCCACAUCUUGGAGGCUUGGGGCUCAGAACACCAUGCAAAAAGUGACUGUUGAUAAAUUGUGUGUGUUUGUGUGUCAGCCUCUCUGCAAACACCUAAAUAAUAUAUGUCGUGUCAUGUUUUCUUUCCUCCAUCUCCUUUUAAUGUAUUAUCAUUUAUAGAAAACUGCAGGGAAACGUGAAACAUCAAUCAAGCCAUUAAUUCCUGAGAUUAUGCUAAUGAGAUGCCUGGAGCGUUUGUUUCCCAGAAUAGCUGCUCCUCCCAGCCCCAGGAAGGAGCUCUUGGCUCCCCCCAGCUCAGCCCUCUCUGCUUAGAUCAGGAGCCAUUGGCACCCAGCGGGGUGCUCCUCUUAAAAGGGCACUGCGACGUCAGCACUGGCACGGGGAGGAUUUGCCCAGCCAGACAGCAAAGGCAAGCCACAGAUGAAACAGAAAACGUGUGAGACAAAAAGACCAGAGAGAUGUGAGAGCUCAGCUAACGAGCUCAGGAGGCCUCUGCCACAGUUAUCUGUCCUGCUGGUGAGCACAGUGGAAGAGGAAGACAAAAAUGAAAUAAAAGCAGUAAGAGCUUUUCGAGGGAUGGGGAGAUAGGCGUGAUGGUUAAAAGGUACAAAAAUCCAGUUAGACAGAAGGAAAAUCAUUGUUUUGUUUUGUUUUAAGUCCUAAAGCACAGCAAGGUAAAUAUACAGAUAUUCCUAAAUGUACGAUAGGGUUAUGUCCCAGUAAACACGGAAAGUUGGAAAUAUCCUAAGUCGAAAGCAUUUAAUACACUUAACCUACAGAACAUUAUAACUUCACCUCACCUACCUGAAAUGCACUCAGAACACUUCCAUUAGCCUAUAGUUGAGGACAGUCAUCUAAUACAAGGCCUAUUUUAUAAUAAAAUAUUGUAUUAAAUAUCUCACACAAUUUAUUAUAUACUGUACUGGCAGUAAAAAUAGAAUGGGUACUCAAAAUAUGGUUUCUACUGAGUGCGUAUAGCUUUUGCAUCAUGAGAAAGUCAAAAAAGUUGUUUGUCUCACCUAAGUAGUCAAGAACUGUCUGUAGUUGGUAGUUUGUGUGUAGUAUUGAGCAUUUCUAAAGUAUUCACAGAGUAAAUUUCAAAUGUUCUCAUUACGAAAUAAUGUUAAGUUCUUGAGGUGAUGGAUAUGUUAACUAGUUGAUUUAAUUAUUCCACACUGUAUUCGUAAAUUAUAACAUCACUUUGUGCUCCAUAAAUUUACACAAUUAUCAAUUGUCAAUUUAUAAUUUUUUUUUAAAAAAAAAAAGAUGGUUCAUCAGCUGAGAUGACAAGCAGAGGCCAGAACAGCCAUGAUUUCUACUCAUGUGGAAGCAAAUCAGGGUAAUGAGGUUGGUGUCAGAGGAGAAACCUCAAUUACAGUAACUACCACUCAUGAGGCACUUAUUGGCCACUGUACAGCAAUGUUGCCUAUUAUUGCAAGUACUGUCUCCCCCCACCCUCUUAUCAGUGAGGCUCAGAAAGGGACUCAAGGUUGCCCAGCUGGUGAAAAACUGUGCUGUGUCGCAAAUCCAGGUGCACCAGAUUCCAGAGCCUGUGAUCAUUCUGCUUUGCAUAUUGUAUAUGUAUAUUUAAAAACUGUGCUAAUGAAGCUGACAGGGGUUAAAAAGAAAAAAAAAUUAAAAAAUUAAAAAUAAACUGUGCAUUUAAAUUUACUCUUUGGAAGUCAUCCAGAGAAACAGAAAAUGAGUUUAGCUGUAGUGUCUUUAACAUGCUUCAAAACAAAGUCACAGGCUACGAACAGAUAGGAUGAGAAAGCUUGUGGUGACAAAGCAGCUCUGUAGCUCGACAGUGGUGCUGGCUGAUCAAAACUACAUUUAUGAAAAAACUGCAUAGAACACAGGCACGCGCACGCACACACACACACACAAACCCUGUGGCUUGAACCAAUGUCAAUUUCCUGACUGUGAUGAUAUUGUUCUAUAGCUGUGCAAGAUGUUACUACUGGGGGGAGCUGGUGUUGUGUCCUUGGGACCACCUUGCACGUUAGUUUGCAACUUGCUAUGAGGAUAUAAUUAUUUCAAAGUUAAAAGUUGAGGCCGGG
rnacentral:lncRNA from 1 species